AUGUCUGGGCAGAAUCCACCAGUCAUGCAAAGAGGACCAUACUCUGUAGCACUCAGCAGAAGAAGGAAGAUGGGAACAGAAAGGUGUGGGGAGAGUUUUCAUUUGUGGCUAGAUUGAGUUGGCUAUAGGCAAGUUUUUGUUGUUUGAUUUUUUUAUAAUUAUAUUAUUUUAUAUUAUAUUGGGACUAUUUAUUAAUAACUUUUUCUUUUUACCUCUCUAAUCUAUUUUUGUUCAUAUAUACAUAUAUAUAUAUAAAUUCUUUAUUGGCAAGGCAGUGAAGGUUAAAAAUCAAAUUAUUUUUUAAUUAAAUAAGAGUAGACAAACACGUACCCAUUCCAUGUAUGGGAUGAAAUUUUUCAACUCUUUCUAAUACACAGAAAUAUAUAUAUAUAUAUAUAUAUAUAUAUAUAUAUAGCUCCAUUUUUAUUUUACGUUUGGACUGAGAUGCUGGGUGACAUCUCUGUUUUACGAGGCAGCAAAUGGAAGAUUUUACACCUCUGCCACUGGAAAUGGUGCUGAUAAAGGAAAUGGAGGUAUGAGCGUGUUACAGGGUUUUCACCUGAGGUGUCAUAGCUUGUCUUUGAUCUACUGUAAAUCAGUCUCUAUAUCAAGAAGGAGUAAAAAGGGGGCAGUGUGCCCAUUUUUAGCUUUCCAUGUGGUGGAAUGAGAAACCUUCUGUUCUAUUUGAAUGUGAGAAAGAUGUGCUAGUCCUCUCCCGCUUGGCUGGCUAACCUCCAUGUACUUCCCUGUGUAUGGAUACUUGUCAACACAAAAAUAAUAAUGAAAAGGAGGAAAUAAUAAAUACAGGUAAACUGCAAGAGUGAUUUGAUGAACAUUGUCAAGAUAUACUUCAUUAAUCUUCCUCCCUUUGCCCGCCGUUCUCUCUUUUUGAAGAAGCACGUCUUGCUGUGGCUGGUCAAAUGGAACCAAGUCAGGUGUUUCUGCAAGGUUUGGUCCCCUUCAACCAGCUACUGCGUCGUGAAUACAGCCAACAAAGAGCAAAUAUUAUAAGAGAGUCAUUCAGUAAAAUCUGAUAUUUGUCAUUUAAAAUGUACUGGUCCUUUAAAGUAUUUCAUUAUUUUAUUGUCUAUGAUUUCUUCUAAAAUUCAAUAAACUAUUUUCCUUUUCA